rnacentral:piRNA from 1 species
UUGUGAUAUGACCAAAGCCAUGCUGAAGU